UGUUCUGCAUUCGAACCACUAUGACAUUCAUUAAUGUCAUAACAUCAUUUCUAUGAAAAUCAUCUAAAUUACUAAAAAUUAUAAAAAUAACGAAACCUUCAAAAAAUUGGAAAAUUUUAUAACAAUAAACCACAAAAAACUAUCAAUAAUCUAUCAAAGCAAAGUAGACAGGGUUACGGUUCACAAGUAUGUCAGUGUUGCCCCGCGGGUUCGAAUGCUGCCGUGCUCCUCCGAGGUACGGCUGUGUUCGCGGAGAGUACAGCAUCUACUACAAGAGGCCACGGUGCGGCCAGCCCAGACCACAGCCCUUCCAGCGAGAGUGCGCCUGCUACUACUGGGGAUGUCCUAGCAACGCACCAUGUGAGAGGCCUUGCUGUUACGACUACCCUUGCAAGGCUCACUGCUUCAACCACGGUGCGUGCACGAGGCCGAGCGGCCGGUACGCGCGCACUGUCUGGUACCCCGGCGAGUGCUGCCCCGUGGUGCCGCCCUGCCAGGCCUUCACCUGCCCCAACCCGCCCUACCAUCCCUGCUGCUACCACACUUGCAACAAACACGUCUAAUAUCUAAAUGAUAAAUCAACCUCGAAGGUUUUUAAAACAAGCAACUGUUGGAUUAGCAGUCAGAGGUUCUCCAAACAAAAUUCGGGAGCAAGGAGGCCUCGCAUUAUUGGAAGACCUUGUUUUAAUGCCUUAGAGUGUUACUUUUUUGCAACCUAGACCUUGCAAAAAUAAUCGUUUCCAAGUCCUUGAUUUAAAGCUCUCCCGAAAGCUUCAAAUUCAAGGAAUACUCAAUGUUUUUCGUAAGUUCGUGGAAGUGCAGUCCUGAUGUCGUACUUGUGAAUCGUAAACUGUGUUGUCCAAAAUAAAUGAGAUACAUAGCA